GUCCACGCCGUAAACGAUGAGAACUAGCCGUUGGACCCCUUGAGGGUUUAGUGGCGUAGCUAACGCGAUAAGUUCUCCGCCUGGGGAGUACGGCCGCAAGGCUAAAAACUCAAAUGAAUUGACGGGGGCCCGCACAAGCGGUGGAGCAUGUUGUUUAAUUCGAUGCAACGCGAAGAACCUUACCACCCCUUGACAUCCUCGGAACUUGGCAGAGAUGCCUUGGUGCCUUCGGGAACCGAGUGACAGGUGCUGCAUGGCUGUCGU
rnacentral:rRNA from 1 species